rnacentral:lncRNA from 1 species
UGACAACCUCCUGUGGACCUCCAUAGAGGCAUGUCCGUAAUUAAAAAGAUAAAUCAAAGAACCAGGCCAUUCUCAAGGAUCUUGGAGAAUUUCAGGGGCUCUGUGCCUAUGCCCAGCAGGUUAAUGCUAGAGAGAGACAUCACCACAGAGGCCACCCACGCAUGUUGUCGCUGCAGACACUGCUGAUGUAAGCUGAACACCCCCACUAUUUGCCCAUCUGCAGUAACUCCCAGGACAUCUAGAUGUUAUAGUGUAAACCUUCUCUCAGCUUCUUACACUGUUUCAGUUAUAUGCUCAGGGUGAGGAGACCACCCACCCCGCCACCUUCCAGAAAGCAGGCCUUAGAGGCUAAGGAGCUAGUCAGACACAGGGUCGGCAGGAGCAGCAAGUCCAGCUUGGCAAGGAUGGACAGAUUCUAUGCCAGAGGUGACUAGUGGGAAUGGAACCCAGAGGAAGGUUCUGCCCUCUGCUGGCCCUUGAAGCCUUUCUGAGUAGCAGUGGAGCACCAAGGAAGGCAGUGUGGAUUCCAGGAAGCCUGCUCUGGCUGGAAGUCCCAGUCAGCAGCGACAGCCACAGGGUGGUGUGGGGAGACUUCCUUAGGCUGUCAUCAGUCUCUAAUGGAGUCACAGGAGAGGUCCUUGUUGGAGCUGGAUUGGAGGACCCUCAGGACUUGCUGGGAGGAGGCUCUCCAGUGGUGGGGGCAUCCCAGCCACAUAAGCACCCCUCCCUGUCCCUUUCCCACCAGAGCUGAAAAUUCCAGAGAACGCCAAUGUGUUCUAUGCCAUGAACUCUGCCGCCAACUAUGACUUCAUCCUAAAGAAGCGGGCCUUCACUAAGGGGGCUAAAGUCAAGCAUGGAGCCAGCUCCACUCUCCCUCGAAUGAAGCAGAAGGGACUCAGGAUUGCCAGAGGCAUCUUCUAAGGACGUCUCCCAGGGGCUGGCUGGCUGGCUGGGGACUAAGCACUUACAGACUAGAGUGGCCCAGGCCACACAGGUACCUCUGCCCUCCUGCCAGCCCAGGCUACUCCCAGACUCCACUUUCACCCCGAACCUGUCCUGCUGCCGGGAUUGACACCUGCCACUGACAGGCUGACCUGGCCUCCGGGGACCGCUCACCGCCUUAGGUGCCUUCUGCUCUCUGCAACCAGAGGACUAGCUGACUUUGCCAAGGGGUGCUGCCAGCUGGGCAUGGAGCCUCGCCUGCCCUGGACAAUGUCCACCACACUUUCCUGUCACCUCCCCAAGUGCAGAUCACUGCCACCCAUGCUCCCAGAUGCUCCAGGACACCCACACACCCAGCGGGGCUGCCAACUGCGUUCUCUCCUUGUGCCCAUAGGCACUGGCCUGGGACCUUCAUGGAGGUCCUAGCCUUUCUUAGGCUGCACCAAAGAUUCCACCUUCAGGGCCUACAGAGUGAGGGAGUCUCGCCCACCACGAGCCCAAGCCCUCCCAUGGAUCAGAGAGAGAAGCCCUCUCAUGGACCGCCUGGUUGGCAUUGAACCCCAUACCACUGAAAGUGCCAUUCACCACCGCUGCGUCCCGGGUGUACAAGACUACAUGCAAUGGGAGGUUUGUGGGGAGGGGGAAGACGACUGGAUAUUUGUAUAAAACGUAAAAAGUUUACUGAUUGGGGUGGGGCAAUAUUUAUUUGUUGUAAAUAGAAAAUGCUAGACUUGAAUAUUAUAUUAAAAUCCCGUUUCUACUAUGGCCUGGUCA